rnacentral:rRNA from 1 species
AUCACUCGGCUCGUGGAUCGAUGAAGACCGCAGCUAAAUGCGCGUCAGAAUGUGAACUGCAGGACACAUGAACAUUGAUAAGUUGAACGCAUAUUGCGCAUCGGACGUCUCAACCCGACCGAUGCACACAUCCUUGAGUGCCUACCAAGUUAUCUAUACGCAUUUACCAAACUGACAGCCUAUCUCCGGGAUAGAUGUCGCAUCAUGGCGUGCUCGGACCCGCACUGGACGGGACCUUGGGCGCUGAAAGUGUGAAAGCUAAUACAGAUGACUUUGUAUGGUAAGGGUAAGCGAUGAACAGACACCGCGACAAGUCGCAUGGUUCGACCUCAGUAUCAACCCGGGAUCAAACCCCCGCAGCCUAUCACGGGCGCUAGCAAAGGGGUCCUGGGGGGGCUCUGGUCGUGUAACACUUGCGGCCCAACGGGUCUAUCUUCAUCGGCUUGCAAAGGCAAACACGGGAAUUGGAAAAUUCUCUAUGUAGGCCUCAAGUGAUGUGUGACUACCCCCUAAAUUUAAGCAU